UGUAUCUCUUUCUGAUAUAUUAGCGCUGACUCCAUUCUCUGUUCUCUGUUUUCAGUCAAUGUAUGUGUCUGACACUGAGUGCAUAUAUGUCUGUCAAUGAGUGUUGUAUAUGUGUUUGUCACUGUGUGUCUGUCAGUGAGUGUGUCCCAGUGUGUGUGUGUGUCUGACACUGAGUAAGUGUGUGCAUCUGUCAGUGAAUGUGUGUAUGUGUCUGUCGGUGAAUGCGUGUCUCUCAGUGUAUAUGUGUGUCUGUCGGUGAGUGUGUGUGUAACUGUGAAUGAGUGUCUAUGUCUGUGGAUGUGUAUGUUUCAGUUGAAAGUGUGUAUUGGUUAAACAGUGUGUGUGACAAUGAUUGUGUAUCUGUAAGUGAGUGUAUGUCAGUGCAUGCAUCAGUGAUGGUGUGU